rnacentral:rRNA from 1 species
GACGGGAGUGCUACAAGCAAAAUUCAGGUGUUCUGGGAGGGGCCUGCGGCCGAUUAGCUAGUUGGUGGGGUAAAGGCCUACCAAGGCGAUGAUCGGUAGCUGUUCUGAGAGGAAGACCAGCCACACGGGAACUGAGAAACGGUCCCGACUCCUACGGGGGGCAGCAGUGAGGAAUAUUGCACAAUGGGGGAAACCCUGAUGCAGCAACGCCGCGUGAAGGAUGAAGGCUUUCGAGUUGUAAACUUCUUUUCUGGGGGAAGAGGAAGGACGGUACCCUAUGAAUWAGACACGGCUAACUACGUGCCAGCAGCCGCGGUAAUACGUAGGUGUCGAGCGUUAUCCGGAAUUACUGGGCGU